rnacentral:rRNA from 1 species
GUCGAGAAUCUUCCGCAAUGGGCGAAAGCCUGACGGAGCGACGCCGCGUGGAGGACGAAGGCCUUCGGGUUGUAAACUCCUGUCACGAGUUAAGAAGGGUAUCCGGCGAACAGCCGGGUGCUUUGACGUAAGCUCGAGAGGAAGCACUGGCUAACUCUGUGCCAGCAGCCGCGGUAAUACAGAGAGUGCAAACGUUGUUCGGAAUUACUGGGCUUAAAGCGCACGUAGGCGGCAUCGCAAGUGUGGGGUGAAAUCCCACGGCUUACCCGUGGAACUGCCUGGCAGACUGCGAUGCUCGAGUGUGGUAGGGGAGAGCGGAACUCCUGGUGGAGCGGUGAAAUGCGUAGAUAUCAGGAGGAACACCGGUGGCGAAGGCGGCUCUCUGGUCCACAACUGACGCUGAGGUGCGAAAGCUAGGGGAGCAAACGGGAUUAGAUACCCGAGUAGUCC